rnacentral:lncRNA from 1 species
GUGAUCCACCCGCCUCGGCCUCCCAAAGUGCUGGGAUUACAGGCGUGAGCCACCGCGCCCAGCCUAAAUGGGACAUCUUUUAACACUCCUUCCAGAGAAACCUAUAUAUUAGCUCGGCAGGGGCACACUGUUUCCAGCCUGUGCGGCAGCUAGGUGUGACCAUGUGACCAAGUCCUGACCAAUGAGAGAGACAAAGUGAGAAGGCGAGUUAAAUACGUUUUGAUGAAGAUAG